rnacentral:rRNA from 1 species
GGACUACCCGGGUAUCUAAUCCUGUUUGCUACCCACGCUUUCGUGUCUCAGCGUCAGAAAUGGUCCAGUAAGCUGUCUACACCACAGGUGUUCCUCCUGAUAUCUACGCAUUUCACCGCUACACCAGGAAUUCCGCUUACCUCUCCCAUCCUCUAGCAUUCCAGUUUCUAAUGCACCCUCCCAGUUAAGCCGGGAGAUUUCACACCAGACUUGGAGCACCGCCUACACACUCUUUACGCCCAGUAAUUCCGAACAACGCUUGCUGCCUACGUAUUACCGCGGCUGCUGGCAC